rnacentral:rRNA from 1 species
UACGUAGGGGGCAAGCGUUGUCCGGAAUGAUUGGGCGUAAAGGGCGCGUAGGCGGCUUUAUAAGUCUGGAGUGAAAGUCCUCUUUUCAAGGGAGGAAUUGCUUUGGAAACUAUAGAGCUUGAGUGCAGGAGAGGUUAUCGGAAUUCCCGGUGUAGCGGUGAAAUGCGUAGAUAUCGGGAGGAACAUCGGUGGCGAAGGCGGGUAACUGGACUGCAACUGACGCUGAGGCGCGAAAGUGUGGGGAGCAAACAGGAUUAGAUACCCUGGUAGUCCACACGGUAAACGAUGAAUGCUAGGUGUAGGAGGUAUCGACCCCUUCUGUGCCGCAGUUAACACAAUAAGCAUUCCGCCUGGGGAGUACGGUCGCAAGAUUAAA